rnacentral:rRNA from 1 species
AGUGAACGCUGGCGGUAGGCCUAACACAUGCAAGUCGAACGGCAGCACAGUAAGAGCUUGCUCUUACGGGUGGCGAGUGGCGGACGGGUGAGGAAUAUAUCGGAAUCUACUUUUUCGUGGGGGAUAACGUAGGGAAACUUACGCUAAUACCGCAUACGACCUACGGGUGAAAGCAGGGGAUCUUCGGACCUUGCGCGAUUGAAUGAGCCGAUGUCGGAUUAGCUAGUUGGCGGGGUAAAGGCCCACCAAGGCGACGAUCCGUAGCUGGUCUGAGAGGAUGAUCAGCCACACUGGAACUGAGACACGGUCCAGACUCCUACGGGAGGCAGAAGUGGGGAAUAUUGGACAAUGGGCGCAAGCCUGAUCCAGCCAUACCGCGUGGGUGAAGAAGGCCUUCGGGUUGUAAAGCCCUUUUGUUGGGAAAGAAAAGCAGCAGGUUAAUACCCCGCUGUUCUGACGGUAGCCAAAGAAUAAGCACCGGCUAACUUCGUG